UUCCAGCUGCCAAGAAAAGCCGCUAUUGUUUGUACUGUACCCGUACCGUAAACCGACACAGGUAGGUGAGGAGAGAAUCCUAAGGCCGACGGGAGAAGCAUUGUUAAGGAACUCGGCAAAAUGACUCCGUAACUUCGGGAGAAGGAGUGCCAGUGAGAGCUGGCCGCAGAGAAUUGGCCCAAGCAACUGUUUAGCAAAAACACAGGUCUAUGCAAAACCGUAAGGUGAAGUAUAUGGGCUGACGCCUGCCCGGUGCUGGAAGGUUAAGGGGAGAGGUUAGCGCAAGCGAAGCUUUGAACUUAAGCCCCAGUAAACGGCGGCCGUAACAAUAACGGUCCUAAGGUAGCGAAAUUCCUUGUCGGGUAAGUUCCGACCCGCACGAAAGGCGUAAUGAUUUGGGCACUGUCUCAACAAUGCACCCGGUGAAAUUGAAAUACCAGUGAAGAUGCUGGUUACCUGCGCCAGGACGGAAAGACCCCAUGGAGCUUUACUCCAGCUUGAUACUGGGAUUCGAUAUUGUAUGUACAGGAUAGGUGGGAGGCGAAGAAGCAUUGACGCCAGUUGAUGCGGAGCCGCUGUUGGGAUACCACCCUUGCAGUAUUGGAUUUCUAACCAGCAGCCGUGACCCGGCUGGGGGACAAUGUCAGGUGGGGAGUUUGACUGGGGCGGUCGCCUCCGAAAGGGUAUCGGAGGCGCUCAAAGGUUCCCUCAGAAUGGUUGGAAACCAUUCGAAGAGUGCAAAGGCAGAAGGGAGCUUGACUGCGACACCGACGGGUGGAGCAGGUACGAAAGUAGGACUUAGUGAUCCGGUGGUAUAAAGUGGGAUUGCCAUCGCUCAACGGAUAAAAGCUACCCUGGGAUAACAGGCUUAUCACUCCCAAGAGUUCACAUCGACGGAGUGGUUUGGCACCUCGAUGUCGGCUCAUCGCAUCCUGGGGCUGAAGUAGGUCCCAAGGGUUGGGCUGUUCGCCCAUUAAAGCGGUACGCGAGCUGGGUUCAGAACGUCGUGAGACAGUUCGGUCCCUAUCCGGCGUGGGCGUAGGAUAUUUGAGAGGAGCUGGCCUUAGUACGAGAGGACCGGGCUGGACUGACCGCUGGUGUAUCUGUUGUUCCGCCAGGAGCAUGGCAGAGUAGCCAAGUCAGGAAGGGAUAAACGCUGAAGGCAUCUAAGCGUGAAGCCCCCCUCAAGAUGAGAUAUCCCAACGCAAGUUGUAAGACCCCUUGAAGACGACAAGGUAGAUAGGGCAGAGGUGGAAGUGCAGUAAUGCAUGGAGCUGACUGUUACUAAUCGGUCGAGGGCAUAACC
rnacentral:rRNA from 1 species